UGGGCUGGCCGGGCGACCGCGUGGAGGAGACUCCCCGAGGAAGGUCCGGGCUCCACAGGGCAGAGUGGUGGGUAACACCCACCCGGGGCAACCCGCGGGACAGUGCCACAGAGAACAGACCGCCCCGCCCCGCUCCGGCGAGGAGGGGUAAGGGUGAAACGGCGGUGUAAGAGACCACCAGCGACCGGGGCGACCCGGCCGGCUCGGCAAACCCCACUUGGAGCAAGGUCAAGAAGUCCCGUGCUUGCACGGGACGCGCGCACGUUCGAGGGCGGCCCGCCCGAGUGCGCGGGUAGACCGCUGGAGGGUGUCGGCAACGGCACCCGUAGAUGGAUGGUCGCCCCCCGGCUCGCCGGGGACAGAACCCGGCCUACAGGCCAGCCCAUCCG
rfam:Nocardioides sp. JS614, complete genome.